AAAUAGCAGUGGUGAAAGCAGGCAUCCUUGUCUUGUUCUUGAUCUUAGGAUGAAAGCUCUCAGUCUUUCACCAUCGGGUAUAAUAGCACCAUCAAACA